rnacentral:misc_RNA from 1 species
GAUGAAGAACGUAGCAAAAUGCGAUAAGUAAUGUGAAUUGCAGAAUUCAGUGAAUCAUCGAAUCUUUGAACGCACAUUGCGCCCGCCAGUAUUCUGGCGGGGAUGCCUGUUCGAGCGUCAUUUCAACCCUCAAGCUCAGCUUGGUGUUGGGACUCGCGGUAACCCGCGUUCCCCAAAUCGAUUGGCGGUCACGUCGAGCUUCCAUAGCGUAGUAAUCAUACACCUCGUUACUGGUAAUCGUCGCGGCCACGCCGUUAAACCCCAACUUCUGAAUGUUGACCUCGGAUCAGGUAGGAAUACCCGCUGAACUUAAGCAUAUCAAUAAGCGGAGGA